rnacentral:rRNA from 1 species
AGAGUUUGAUCCUGGCUCAGGACGAACGCUGGCGGCGUGCUUAACACAUGCAAGUCGAACGGAGCACCCUUGAUUGAGGUUUCGGCCAAAUGAUAGGAAUGCUUAGUGGCGGACUGGUGAGUAACGCGUGAGGAACCUGCCUUUCAGAGGGGGACAACAGUUGGAAACGACUGCUAAUACCGCAUGACGCAUUUUGAUCGCAUGGUCGAAAUGCCAAAGAUUUAUCGCUGAAAGAUGGCCUCGCGUCUGAUUAGCUAGUUGGUGAGGUAACGGCCCACCAAGGCGACGAUCAGUAGCCGGACUGAGAGGUUGACCGGCCACAUUGGGACUGAGAUACGGCCCAGACUCCUACGGGAGGCAGCAGUGGGGAAUAUUGGGCAAUGGGCGCAAGCCUGACCCAGCAACGCCGCGUGAAGGAAGAAGGCUUUCGGGUUGUAAACUUCUUUUAAGUGGGAAGAGUAGAAGACGGUACCACUUGAAUAAGCCACGGCUAACUACGUGCCAGCAGCCGCGGUAAUACGUAGGUGGCAAGCGUUGUCCGGAUUUACUGGGUGUAAAGGGCGUGCAGCCGGGCAUGCAAGUCAGAUGUGAAAUCUCAGGGCUUAACCCUGAAACUGCAUUUGAAACUGUAUGUCUUGAGUGCCGGAGAGGUAAUCGGAAUUCCUUGUGUAGCGGUGAAAUGCGUAGAUAUAAGGAAGAACACCAGUGGCGAAGGCGGAUUACUGGACGGUAACUGACGGUGAGGCGCGAAAGCGUGGGGAGCGAACAGGAUUAGAUACCCUGGUAGUCCACGCUGUAAACGAUGGAUACUAGGUGUGCGGGGACUGACCCCCUGCGUGCCGCAGUUAACACAAUAAGUAUCCCACCUGGGGAGUACGAUCGCAAGGUUGAAACUCAAAGGAAUUGACGGGGGCCCGCACAAGCGGUGGAUUAUGUGGUUUAAUUCGAAGCAACGCGAAGAACCUUACCAGGUCUUGACAUCCUGCUAACGAAGUAGAGAUACAUUAGGUGCCCUUCGGGGAAAGCAGAGACAGGUGGUGCAUGGUUGUCGUCAGCUCGUGUCGUGAGAUGUUGGGUUAAGUCCCGCAACGAGCGCAACCC